CGGGGCGUGGCGCAGUCUGGUAGCGCAUCUGCUUUGGGAGCAGAGGGCCGGAGGUUCGAAUCCUCUCGCCCCGACCA
rnacentral:tRNA from 2 species